rnacentral:rRNA from 1 species
CUUUAUAUGAGAGUUUGAUCCUGGCUCAGGAUGAACGCUGGCGGCGUGCUUAACACAUGCAAGUCGAACGAAGUAUAGUGAAUCGAGUUCUU